rnacentral:snRNA from 1 species
GUGCUUGUUUUGGCAGCACAGAUACUAAAAUUGGACCAAUACAGAGAAGAUUAGCAUAGGAAUGACAUGCAAAUUCAUAAAAUAUUCCAAAUUUUU